UACCGCCAUCGCAGACCCACUGUUGAC
rnacentral:piRNA from 1 species